AUGGCGCAGAUUAUGAUUCAAGGACAAGGGGAAACUAGCUAUGCUCGCAACUCUAGUAUUCAGAAUGCUGAGCAGAAGAAGACGAAACCCUGGAUUGAAGCGGUCAUCGUUGAAUUAUGCAGUAGCACCGGCACCUUGCAGCCCGGCAAGAUGGUGAUCGCGGACUUGGGCUGCUCCACUGGUCCAAACGCACUUGCACUUGUAUCGAUCGCUGUUGAGGCGAUCCACGCUCAUUGUCUUCAGUUCCAGCAACUUCCACCGGAAUGUGUGGUCCUCAACGAUCUCCCGGAGAACAACUUCAACACAGUGGUGAAGAGCCGGAUCACGCUCCGUCAAAGCAAUGAUCCUGUUGUCAUGACCGGUAUCACACCAGGGUCGUUUUACGAGCGGCUCUUCACUACUGAAUCCUUGCAUCUUGUUUGCUUGUCCAAUAGCAUGCAUUGGCUCUCAAAGGCUCCAGAAGAUCUAACAAGGAAUCUCAUCCCAGCAUAUGACAUUGAUGAGCAUUCUAGGAGUGAAAGGCUUCCUAUAGUACUUGAGGCUUAUGCAAAACAGUACAGAAAAGAUUUCACGCUUUUUCUGGAGCUGAGAGCCAAAGAGUUGGUCUCAGGAGGCCGAAUGAUUGUUUCGCUGGUAGGGAGGCGUUCUGAUGCAAUGACCACCAAAUUCUCUUACAUAUUAGAAAUUGUAGCUCAGAUUCUAUGUGUCAUGGUCUCAGAGGGUGUGAUUGGCAAAGAAAAGUUUGAUUCCUUUUAUGGGCUAUUGUAUGAACCUUCAAGCGAAGAGCUGAGGGAGAUCAUCCAAGAAGGGGCCUCCUUUUCAAUCAGGGAGAUGCGGGCGCAUGACCCUAGAACCGAUAUGAACAAUGCUCUCAGCACCCCAGGCAGGUUCGCGGGAUUUCUGAGAGCUUUAUUUGAGCCGGUAUUGGUCCAACAUUUUGGAGAUGCCAUGGAUGAAUUUGUGAGGACUGCGGAGCGGCGGUGGAUCCUAGAGGGAAGCUUGCAAGAGGAGCGUGUUAGAUGUCCUUAUGCUAUGCUGGUUGUAUCCCUCACAAAGGCAUGA
rnacentral:rRNA from 1 species